rnacentral:rRNA from 1 species
GAUGAACGCUGGCGGCGUGCCUAAUACAUGCAAGUCGAGCGAACAGACGAGGAGCUUGCUCCUCUGACGUUAGCGGCGGACGGGUGAGUAACACGUGGAUAACCUACCUAUAAGACUGGGAUAACUUCGGGAAACCGGAGCUAAUACCGGAUAAUAUAUUGAACCGCAUGGUUCAAUAGUGAAAGACGGUUUUGCUGUCACUUAUAGAUGGAUCCGCGCCGCAUUAGCUAGUUGGUAAGGUAACGGCUUAUCAAGGCAACGAUGCGUAGCCGACCUGAGAGGGUGGUCGGCGGCGCGGGAGGUGAGGCGGGGUCGAGGGGCCUGCGGGAGGCAGCAGUAGGGAAUGGGCGGCAAUGGGCGAAAGCGUGACGGAGCAAGGCCGCGUGAGUGAUGAAGGUCUUCGGAUCGUAAAGCUCUGUUAUGAGGGAAGAACAAAUGUGUAAGUAACUAUGCACGUAUUGACGGUACCUAAUCAGAAAGCCACGGCUAACUACGUG